rnacentral:sRNA from 1 species
ACAGACGUCAUAUGGCGGACGUCGAAAGGAAGAAGA